AACAGGUUUGGUCCUGGCCUUUUUAUUAGUUGCUUACAGAAUUAUACAUGCAAGAGUCAUCGCCCCGGUGAAAAUGCCCUCUAAACCACAUACGGAUAAAAGGAGCGGGUAUCAGGCGCACACCACAAAGUAGCCCAUAACACCUUGCUUCGCCACACCCCUACGGGAGACAGCAGUAACAAAAAUUAAGCAAUAAACGAAAGUUUGACUAAGUCAUGUAGCUAUUAAGGGUUGGUAAAUUUCGUGCCAGCCACCGCGGUCAUACGAUUAACCCAAACUAAUAAACUUCCGGCGUAAAAAAUGUUUUAGAGAUAUAAAAAAUAAGAUUAAACUCUAUCUAAGUUGUAAAAAACACCAGAUAAAAUGUAAGUCAAUAACGAAAGUAAUCUUAAUACCUCUGAAUACAUGAAAGCUAAGGCUCAAACUGGGAUUAGAUGCCCCACUAUGCUUAGCCAUAAACAUAAAAGUUCACAUAACAAGAACUUUCGCCCGAGAACUACUAGCAACAGCUUAAAACUCAAAGGACUUGGCGGUGCUUUAUAUCCACCUAGAGGAGCCUGUUCUAUAAUCGAUAAACCCCGAUACACCUCACCACUUCUUGCUAAUUCAGCCUAUAUACCGCCAUCUUCAGCAAACCCAAUCAUGGCAACAAAGUAAGCACAAACAUAUUACAUAAAAACGUUAGGUCAAGGUGUAGCUAAUGAAGUGGGAAGAAAUGGGCUACAUUUUCUUACCAAAGAACAUAAACGUAAAUCUUUAUGAAACCUAAAGAUAGAAGGAGGAUUUAGUAGUAAAUUAAGAAUAGAGAGCUUAAUUGAACUAGGCAAUGAAGCACGUACACACCGCCCGUCACCCUCCUCAAAUACCCAAAAAUUUAAAAAUCAAAAAUUAACAAAUAUGAGAGGAGACAAGUCGUAACAAGGUAAGCAUACUGGAAAGUGUGCUUGGAAA
rnacentral:ncRNA from 1 species